rnacentral:rRNA from 1 species
GACGAACGCUGGCGGCGUGCCUAAUACAUGCAAGUCGAACGCACAGUUUAUACCGUAGCUUGCUACACCAUAGACUGUGAGUUGCGAACGGGUGAGUAACGCGUAGGUAACCUGCCUGGUAGCGGGGGAUAACUAUUGGAAACGAUAGCUAAUACCGCAUAAUAUUAAUUAUUGCAUGAUAAUUAAUUGAAAGGUGCAAUUGCACCACUACCAGAUGGACCUGCGUUGUAUUAGCUAGUAGGUGAGGUAACGGCUCACCUAGGCGACGAUACAUAGCCGACCUGCGAUGGUGAUCGGCCACACUGGGACUGAGACACGGCCCAGACUCCUACGGGAGGCAGCAGUAGGGAAUCUUCGGCAAUGGACGAAAGUCUGACCGAGCAACGCCGCGUGAGUGAAGAAGGUUUUCGGAUCGUAAAGCUCUGUUGUAAGAGAAGAACGGGUGUGAGAGUGGAAAGUUCACACUGUGACGGUAUCUUACCAGAAAGGGACGGCUAACUACGUG